UACGAAGGGGGCUAGCGUUGCUCGGAAUCACUGGGCGUAAAGGGUGCGUAGGCGGGUCUUUAAGUCAGGGGUGAAAUCCUGGAGCUCAACUCCAGAACUGCCUUUGAUACUGAAGAUCUUGGAGUUCGGGAGAGGUGAGUGGAACUGCGAGUGUAGAGGUGAAAUUCGUAGAUAUUCGCAAGAACACCAGUGGCGGAGGCGGCUCACUGGCCCGAUACUGACGCUGAGGCACGAAAGCGUGGGGAGCAAACAGG
rnacentral:rRNA from 1 species